CGCGGCCUAUCAGCUUGUUGCGCGGCCUAUCAGCUUGUUGCGCGGCCUAUCAGCUUGUUGCGCGGCCUAUCAGCUUGUUGGCGGGGUAACGGCCCACCAAGGCAACGACGGGUAGCUGGUUUGAGAGAACGAUCAGCCACACUGGAACUGAGACACGGUCCAGACUUCUACGGAAGGCAGCAGUAGGGAAUCUUGCGCAAUGGGCGAAAGCCUGACGCAGCGACGCCGCGUGCGGGAUGACGGCCCUAGUGGUUGUAAACCGCUUUCAGCAGGGACGAAAAUGACGGUACCUGCAGAAGAAGUCCCGGCUAACUACGUGCCAGCAGCCGCGGUAAUACGUAGGGGACAAGCGUUGUCCGGAUUCAUUGGGCGUAAAGAGCUCGUAGGCGGUUCAGUAAGUUGGGUGUGAAAGCUCCGGGCUCAACCCGGAGAGGCCACUCAAUACUGCUGUGACUAGAGUCCAGUAGAGGAGCGUGGAACUCCUGGUGUAGCGGUGAAAUGCGCAGAUAUCAGGAAGAACACCGGCAGCGAAGGCGGCGCUCUGGGCUGGUACUGACGCUGAGGAGCGAAAGCAUGGGUAGCAAACAGGAUUAGAUACCCUGGUAGUCCAUGCCGUAAACGUUGGGCACUAGGUGUGGGGAGGAAUCAACCCUCUCCGUGCCGUAGCUAACGCAUUAAGUGCCCCGCCUGGGGAGUACGG
rnacentral:rRNA from 1 species